CAAGACAACUGGAGAUAUCAU
rnacentral:sRNA from 1 species